rnacentral:rRNA from 1 species
AUUGAACGCUGGCGGCAGGCCUAACACAUGCAAGUCGAACGAGUGGCGGACGGGUGAGUAAUGUCUGGGAAACUGCCUGAUGGAGGGGGAUCACUACUGGAAACGGUAGCUAAUACCGCAUACUAUCAGAUGUGCCCAUAUGGGAUUAGCUGGUUGGUGGGGUAACGGCUCACCAAGGCGACGAUCCCUAGCUGGUAUGAGAGGAUGACCAGCAACACUGGAACUUAGACGCGGUCCAGAGUCCUACGGGAGGCAGCAGUGGGGAAUAUUGCACAAUGGGCGAAAGCCUGAUGCAGCCGUGCCGCGUGUAUGAAGAAGGCCUUCGGGUUGUAAAGUACUUUCAGCGGGGAGGCGUUACCCGCAGAAGAAGCACCGGCUAACUCCGUGCCAGCAGCCGCGGUAAUAC